GGGUAACGGAUAAAGUUGGCACAGUACUUGGAAAGUACUCUAUAAAGACGGUGUACACACCUUUAUCCAAAGUAGCAGGGAGCCUAAGGUCACCGAAGGACGUUAUUCCUCUGCGGUGGCUGAGCAUUUGCUGGAGUCAGGACCAAACCACUGGAUUGAGCUGCAUAACCCUAAAAUCCUCUCCACGGAUCGCCAUUUCUACAGUAGAAAAGUGCGGGAAGCCAUUGAAAUCAAAAAACAUUGCAAUUUUAAUCGGGACGAGGGUUUUAAGAUCUCAUCCACAUGGAAUCCAGUCAUUAGUAAAUGUAAGCGGAAACGAAUAUCGACAGUCGAUAAAUCGAAUAUCGUUAGUGUUGUGUGUCGACAGAGUGACAUCCCUAGUGCGCAAAACGUUCAAACUGAUAAACAAGACCAA